UACGUAGGGGGCUAGCGUUGUCCGGAUUUAUUGGGCGUAAAGAGCGUGUAGGCGGCCAGGUAGGUCUGCUGUGAAAACUCGAGGCUCAACCUCGAGACGUCGGCGGAAACCAUCUGGCUAGAGUCCGGAAGAGGAGAGUGGAAUUCCUGGUGUAGCGGUGAAAUGCGCAGAUAUCAGGAAGAACACCCGUGGCGAAGGCGGCUUCCUGGACCGACACUGACGCUGAGGCGCGAAAGCGUGGGUAGCGAACAGG
rnacentral:rRNA from 1 species